GAUGUACGCUAGCUACAGGCUUAACACAUGCAAGUCGAGGGGUAACGAGAGGAAAGCUUGCUUUCCUUGUCGACGACCGGCGCACGGGUGAGUAACGCGUAUCCAACCUGCCCCCAACUAGGGAAUAACCUUGCGAAAGUAAGACUAAUACCCUAUAAUUUCCUCAGAUGACAUCUGACGAGGAAUAAAGAUUUAUCGGUUGUGGAUGGGGAUGCGUCUGAUUAGCUUGUUGGCGGGGUAACGGCCCACCAAGGCAACGAUCAGUAGGGGUUCUGAGAGGAAGGUCCCCCACAUUGGAACUGAGACACGGUCCAAACUCCUACGGGAGGCAGCAGUGAGGAAUAUUGGUCAAUGGGCGGAAGCCUGAACCAGCCAAGUAGCGUGCAGGAUGACGGCCCUAUGGGUUGUAAACUGCUUUUAUACAGGAAUAAAGUUAGCCACGUGUGGUUAUUUGUAGGUACUGUAUGAAUAAGGACCGGCUAACUCCGUGCCAGCCGCCGCUGUAA
rnacentral:rRNA from 1 species